UACGGGGGGGAGCAAGCGUUGUUCGGAUUUACUGGGCGUAAAGGGCGCGUAGGCGGCGCAACAAGUCACUUGUGAAAUCUCCGGGCUUAACCCGGAGCGGUCAAGUGAUACUGUCGUGCUAGAGUGCGGAAGGGGCUACUGGAAUUCUCGGUGUAGCGGUGAAAUGCGUAGAUAUCGAGAGGAACACCUGCGGCGAAGGCGGGUAGCUGGGCCGACACUGACGCUGAUGCGCGAAAGCCAGGGGGAGCCGAACGG
rnacentral:rRNA from 1 species